UACGUAGGGGGCUAGCGUUGUCCGGAAUCAUUGGGCGUAAAGCGCGUGUAGGCGGUCCGGUAAGUCCGCUGUGAAAGUCGAGGGCUCAACCCUCGAAUGCCGGUGGAUACUGUCGGGCUUGAGUACGGGAGAGGCGAGUGGAAUUCCUGGUGUAGCGGUGAAAUGCGUAGAUAUCUGGAGGAACACCGGUGGCGAAGGCGGCAUCCUGGACCGGCAUUGACGCUGAGGCGCGAAAGCGUGGGGAGCGAACAGG
rnacentral:rRNA from 1 species